GACGAACGCUGGCGGCGUGCUUAACACAUGCAAGUCGAACGGAAAGGCCUGCUUUCCCUUGUGGAUUGCGGGUACUCGAGUGGCGAACGGGUGAGUAACACGUGAGUUAUCUGCCCCCAACUUGGGUAUAAGCCUGGGAAACUGGGUCUAAUUCCCGAUAGGACUGCAGGGUGGUGCCUGUGGUUGAAAACGAUUUUCUAGUGGUUGGGGAUGAGCUCGCGGCCUAUCAGCUUGUUGGUGGGGUAAUGGCCUACCAAGGCGGCGACGGGUAGCCGGCCUGAGAGGGUGGACGGCAACAUUGGGACUGAGCUACGGCCCAGACUCCUACGGGAGGCAGCAGUGGGGAAUAUUGCACAAUGGGCGGAAGCCUGAGGCAGCGACGCCGCGUGGGGGAUGACGGCCUUCGGGUUGUAAACUCCUUUCGACAGCGAGGAAGCCACCUGGUUGGAAGGGUGGUGACGGUAGUGGUAGAAGAAGCACCGGCUAACUACGUG
rnacentral:rRNA from 1 species